UACGUAGGGUGCGAGCGUUAAUCGGAAUUACUGGGCGUAAAGCGUGCGCAGGCGGAUAUGUAAGUCAGAUGUGAAAUCCCCGGGCUUAACCUGGGAAUUGCAUUUGAAACUGUAUAUCUAGAGUGCGUCAGAGGGGGGUGGAAUUCCACGUGUAGCAGUGAGAUGCGUAGAGAUGUGGAGGAACACCGAUGGCGAAGGCAGCCCCCUGGGAUGACACUGACGCUCAUGCACGAAAGCGUGGGGAGCAAACAGG
rnacentral:rRNA from 1 species